rfam:Phycisphaerae bacterium SM23_30 WORSMTZ_10524, whole genome shotgun sequence.
GGCGGCGUAGCUCAGAUGGUUAGAGCAGCGGAUUCAUAGCCCGCAGGUCAUCGGUUCAAAUCCGAUCGCCGCUA